rnacentral:piRNA from 1 species
UCUCAGCAGAUGACAUAGUACCACCA